rnacentral:tRNA from 1 species
UAGCCUAGUGGUUAAGGCUAUGGAUUGCCAAUCCGGAGACGGCGGGUUCGAUUCCCGC